rnacentral:rRNA from 1 species
AAGUACAACCCUGAACGGUGGAUCACUCGGCUCGUGGGUCGAUGAAGAACGCAGCAAAUUGCGCGUCGACAUGUGAACUGCAGGACACAUGAACAUCGACAUUUCGAACGCACAUUGCGGUCCAUGGAUUCCGUUCCCGGACCACGCCUGGCUGAGGGUCGGUAGCUAAAA